rnacentral:snRNA from 1 species
UGAUGUGAAGGUGAUUGAGAAUUUGACAUCCCAUUUGGCUACUAGGAUUGAUGAAACUUAUGAGGCUGGAUAAGCAAGUUUCUUCUUCCUCUAUCACCCCUCUGCAUUCAUCCUGUCCAAAGCUGUACACUCAGUUCGAGAAGAAGACCUUCCCAAGUAGAGGAGGGCCCUCUUUUGGUCAAGGGUAUAUACCAGGAGGUGCACACCCCAGCUAGAACAGCCAGACAAGCUCUCCAGGUCCAACAGUUUCUGGGAGUUCAGGAAGCUAAAUGUGGGGGAUGAAUUCCCACUUCUU